ACACCAUUAAAUUGAAAGAGACUGAGAGAGACUCUGAUAAACAGAGAGCGAGAGCCCAUGGUUUCCGAUCAAAAAAAAAAAAAAAAACCCGCUUCCCAGUUCCUUUCAAAAACUCUUUGUUUCCAGUUACGCUAAAACGAUCUUUUUGCUUUUUGAUUUUUCCAGAAAAAGAAGCAGAAGAAGAAGGAAGAUGAAAAACAAAAUCCAAAACUUAGAUGAGAAAGAAGUAAGCGAUCAGAGGUGCCAUCUCCGAUUCUCUCACACAAUGGCCACCGAUUCAUCAGACCAACUCAAUUUCAACCCUACUACUACUACAGAAGAAAACCCAAAACAAACCCUAGACGACGACACUACUAUUGCUGUCACGCCCAUCAGAUCGCCUCGAAGAAGAAGAAAAGGAAGAACCAAUCGAUGAGGCUUCCGAUCAGCCUUCUGUAACCACCGUCGAUUCCGAUGCGAAGUACGGCGAGGAUUCAAAGAGCACUAUAGCCGCUGCCUAUAGCAGGGGAUGUUGUUGAUGUGGAUACGGCUUCCAAUCGUUUCACUCUGCACUCCAAGUACAAAUAUAGAAAAGUUACUGGAUUCUCUAAUAGGAGAAUUAUCGUUGGGUUCUCUACAAUAAAAUGAAAGGCUCAUAACAUCUUAUAUAACCAUUGUUGAAGCUUCAACCACCAUGAAAUCUGUCAAACGUUGAUGGUUCUGUUUCAAAGAUGAGGAAGAAGAAAACAAAGAAGAAGAAGAAGAAGAAGAAGAAGAAGGCUACCUGCUGUAAGGAUUGAAUUCUUCAUUUAUUCAAAUUUGAUUUGUGCUUUCUUCUUCUUACCCUUUUUUGUUUCGUCCUUACCUCUACAUGACUAACUUGUGGAAAAUUGAAUGGUGGGAGUUGAAAGUAGGGCUGUAAUCGGUUCGGUUCGGUCGGUUUUUUUUUAUCUAGCCAACCGAAACCGAAAUUUUCGAUUUUUAGAAGUCUCAUCCGAAACCGACCGAAAUAGUUGAAAAACUGUCGGUUUCGGUUUGUUUCA